GGAGAGAUGGCCGAGUUGGUCUAAGGCGCACGACUGGAAAUCGUGUAUACCCUAACCGGUAUCAUGGGUUCGAAUCCCAUUCUCUCCGCCA
rnacentral:tRNA from 1 species